UACGGAGGGUGCAAGCGUUAUCCGGAUUUACUGGGUUUAAAGGGUGCGCAGGCGGAUGUGUAAGUCAGUGGUGAAAUCUCCGGGCUUAACCCGGAAACUGCCGUUGAUACUAUAUAUCUUGAAUGCUGUGGAGGUAAGCAGAAUAUGUCAUGUAGCGGUGAAAUGCUUAGAGAUGACAUAGAAUACCUAUUGCGAAGGCAGCUUACUACGCAGAUAUUGACGCUCAUGCACGAAAGCGUGGGGAUCAAACAGG
rnacentral:rRNA from 1 species